ACAAUGGACCCCGUAAUCAACUUUCUCCAAUAAGUAUUGAAGAACAGACAGUGUGCCAAGUCUUGAUUUUCGAUCUUCUGGAGUCUUAGAAUCUAGAGAUUCAUCUCUAUUAACUAUUGGAUUAUGUGAUUCUAUUCCACUGGCUGUUGCUUUUCAUGAAAUAAUCUAUGCAUAUUUCAAAGGAUUAAAUGAUUCAACGUAUUGUUAUAAAUGUUUUGAAACAUCAAAAACCAUCUAUAACGUUUCAUUAAAAAAAAAAAAAAAUAUUAAAUAAAAAUAAAAAUCUUUUAUCGUUAUAAAGUUGUGUUAUAUCAUACAUAUUGUAUUGUGUUAAGUAAACCAAGAAUAUCACGUACUCAAUACUGUUAAUUAUUUAUUUAAUAAAACAUAUUUAAACAGAUAUAGAAUUGUAACCUAAUAUCUUUAUAAACAUUCUUUCUAAGUAAAUCAUUACAGGAUUGAGUAGGUAUCUUCUUUUUUUGUGUGGUUUUGCAACUGAGGUGUGAACCAUGAUAAUAUUACUUUCACCUUAGCUGCAUCGUUUAUUGUACAAUAAUUACCAGAAAAUUAAAUUCAACGUAAUCCAUGAUUAUGGAAUUUGGGGGGGGAUGCCAAAAGAAAAAAAUGUUGUCAAUGUAAAACAAUUAAAUGCUCUAUUUAACCUCUUCGGCAAUUUUCAACUGAUGAUUUGUAAAAAUAAUGGCUGUAACAUAUUUGGGCAUAAAACAAUAUUUUAGCAUGGAAAUUGGGAGACACACUAUUGGGUACAAUUUUUUUCAGUCAUCACUAAAAAUGAAUACAAUGUUUGGGUACAUCGUGUUUUUAAAAUAAUACCAUGGUUUUUAAGAUGUGUGAAUUAGAUUAUUAUUAAAUGUUACUUUAGAUGUCAAGUAAAAAUGUUUGGAGAUGUGAUGGUAUUAUUUCCUGCAGGUAUUCCAAAUAUUUUAGCAAAUAAUCUGAAUCGAACAAAAUUAACAUUUUGAUUGAAGAAACACAUUAUCUACAUUAGUGGAAAAUAUUCUUCCGAACUAACAAUUAGUCUUAACCGAUAAUUUAUUUACAUCUACUGAUUUAACUGUUUAUGAGUUCAAUAUGCCUGCUCUAACUUUGUUAUUACGUAAACUAUUUGAGCAAAAUCCUGUUGCAUCGUACAUUCUUAAAUAUAAAGUUAGUUAUAAUAAUGUCAUGAUAAUUUUCUAAUUUUUUGUUGUAUGUUUUAGGUGAAAUUGCUCAAUACUGCAUCCGCUUCAUGUUCGCUCCAAUUAGUUUCACUUUAAAAAUGCAACAAUACUUAUACGGACUUUAAAAUUGGCUAGAAGUUUAAUAGUCACUCCAUGAGUGUUCAUUUACCUUUACUGAAUGUUACUGUUUCUGCUAAUUUGAAUUCAGCAAUACGUAAUAUGCAGUCUGCCGACUGCCCAAUGCAUCAGAUACAAAAGCAGUAAGUUUGCAGAACUCGCUCAAUAUUCUGAAAGAUUUGAGGUUGACAGCUUAUGCCCAAUAUCAACUAUAGUAACUCAAUUCAACAGUACUACAUUAUUUGGACUAGAAUUUGAGCUAGCAAGUAGUGGUUAUAGAGUGUUAUUAAUCAAAAGAUGUUUCGUUGCUGGUAAAUAUGUAUGUGAUAUAUACCAGAUACAAAAAGCUCUACCCAACAUUCCACGUUGUCAUCAGAUUGUUAAUUAUCAGCUUUUUUUUUUUUUAUGUUUCCAUUUAUAUUUUUUUUUUUAUUUAAACUAGAGUAUUAUAAUAUCAACAUCUUUUUUGUGGACUAUGUUUUUCUUCAUUAUUUUAGUUUACAUUAAUUAUUUUGAUAAAAUAAUUAACACUUUAAAUUAACUUCAGCUUUUAAAUAUCAUUUGAUUUUGCCUUAAUGCGAAAUUAUAAAAACUAUUAGUAAUUAUUAUGUUAUUAAAUAAAACUGUCUGCUAGUAGUUUUACUGUAUCAUCUACCAUUUUAAGAUUAAACAUUUUUUAAAAAAAACCAAUGUAAUAAGAAUGAUUUUUAGUAUUUAUAUAAAUGUAUUAUAUAAAACUAUAUAAUAUUGUUUUAAUUUUAACAAAUAUUUCUCUCUGACAAAGAAGGCAUUUUAUUACUCAGCAUUAGUCAGUAGAAACAUAUCUUCUAACUAACCAUGAAUAAGCAAAGUAGUUUAAUUUAAAACUAAUUGUUUUUUUUAGUUUAUUCGUGUAUAUCCAAAAAAUCUUGCUUAUACAUACAUUUUCAAAAUAAAUUAAUAUUUAUAAAAUAGUAUGAUGUACAUUUAUGAAUUAUACUAAUUAUAUUAUAUUAUUCCCUAUAAAAUGAGCAAUAAUCGACAUUUUCUUCUUGUUGACUAUUUUAUUUGUAAACCAAAACAAAAUACGAUAGAUCUGAUUGUAAAAUCUCUUUUUAUUAUUAUAUAAUUAUAAUUAUUUUUAUUUUUGUGAUGAAGUUAUCAAUAUUAAGACUCUGUCUAUGCUUCCUUGUUAAACUAGUUAGUUUUUGGUAACAAUAUUGUGUGUUAUCGUUUAUUGGACUUUUGAUCAUAAUGUGUACUUACAGGUAAUACUUUUUCAGACACCUGUAAUAGGUCAACUGUAUUUUGAAUUUGUUAAUUUGGACCAAUGUAUUAUGUAGAAUGUAGAUGUAUCUCAAAGAUAUUACAUUGACAGUUUAACUUGUAAAAAUCAAAAUUUUAAUUUAAAAGUAAUUUGUUUGUUGGUAUUCUGAUUUCUGAAUACAAUAGUGUUAUAUAAGAUAAUUUUAACUCAAAAAUA